AGAGAUUCCUGUACCAGUGCUAAUUGUUUAACCGAUGGGGUGACACAGAAGGAUAGGGAAUCGCACGAAUGGAAAUGUGCGUCCAAGCAGUGAGUGUGAGAAGUAGGCAAAUCCGCUUCUCGCGAAGCAUGAGCUGUGAUGGGGAAGGAAAUUAAGUACGGAAGUUCCUGAUUUCACGCUGUCAAGAAAAGCCUCUAGGAAGAGUAGUACUGCCCGUACCGCAAACCGACACAGGUAGAUGAGGAGAGAAUCCUAAGGUGAGCGAGAGAACUCUCGUUAAGGAACUCGGCAAAAUGACCCCGUAACUUCGGGAGAAGGGGUGCUCUAUUAGGGUGCAAGCCCGAGAGAGCCGCAGUGAAUAGGCCCAGGCGACUGUUUAGCAAAAACACAGGUCUCUGCAAAACCGUAAGGUGACGUAUAGGGGCUGACGCCUGCCCGGUGCUGGAAGG
rnacentral:rRNA from 1 species